GCGGACGUAGCUCAAUGGCAGAGCCUCUGCCUUCCAAGCAGAUAAUGCGGGUUCGAUUCCCGUCGUCCGCUCCG
rnacentral:tRNA from 1 species